UAAAUUUUAGUUUAUUUAAAAUAUUUUUUUUACAAAAAAAAGAUAGUAUAUUUAUAUAUUAAAUUUAA
rnacentral:tRNA from 1 species